rnacentral:lncRNA from 1 species
GUUUUUCCAGUUUGAAAAUUUAAUGAGUUAACUUUGAGUUUUAAGUAUUAAUAGAAGGAAUUAUUAAGCAAUCAUGGCUCUAUUCUGAAUAAAUUCUCCGGGGUGUAACCCCAAUUAAUGCCCAGAAAGUUGGGACUUACGCCUAAGAAAACGCCCAGAAGGCUAGGACUUGCGCACCCACAAGGCUUGCGCCCCUACAUGUAUGCCACAUUGCGUUUUUAGUGUGCCUCGCCGUAGGGAUAGCCCAUAAAAUGCAUUUAAAACACUACUUCCAAUCUUCCGUAGACUUCUUGAUUCCAUUCCUCAAAUCUUCAAUAUUUUCUGUUUUCUUGCUAAAAUCAGAUUACC